CCUACGGGCGGCUGCAGUGGGGAAUAUUGGGCAAUGGACGCGAGUCUGACCCAGCAACGCCGCGUGAAGGAAGAAGGCUUUCGGGUUGUAAACUUCUUUUAAGGGGGAAGAGCAGAAGACGGUACCCCUUGAAUAAGCCACGGCUAACUACGUGCCAGCAGCCGCGGUAAUACGUAGGUGGAAAGCGUUAUCCGGAUUUAUUGGGUUUAAAGGGUGCGCAGGCGGUCUGUUAAGUCGGCGGUCAAAGCCCGGGGGUCAACCCCGGCCCGCCGUUGAAACUGGCAGUCUCGAGUGGGGGAGAGGUAGGCGGAAUGCGCGGUGUAGCGGUGAAAUGCAUAGAGAUCGCGCAGAACUGCGAUUGCGAAGGCAGCAUGCCGGCUGCACACUGACGCUGAGGCACGAAAGCGUGGGUAUCGAACAGGAUUAGAUACCCCAGUAGUC
rnacentral:rRNA from 1 species